rnacentral:lncRNA from 1 species
GGGAUGAUGUUUUACAUAAAACUGUGAGUCUGCUAGGGUGAAGUUAAACAGUUUCCUUACCUGUGUCUUUCAAUCCCUUUUCUAUUUAAGAAAGUAGAGACCUGGGAAAAUUUACCUGAGAUUGGAGGUAUGAUAAAUCCUAAAAAAACUAAAAUGAAAGUCUGACCAUAAGUUAGGUGACAGUUGAGUGGAAAUACCCAGGGAAUCCAGUAAAGCCAAGACAGUUUGAAAACAGAGUGGUUCAGAGGUCAGAUGAAGAAAAGCAGUUAACAGAAAAAUUCUAAGAAGAGUUUAAGGGUGUAGAACUGAUGUUAGCAUAUUUUUUUUUCUGUCUUCUAGUUCAGACUGCCUUGGGAACAUUGUCCACAGCUACUGGAUAAUAAGAAACCUGACUGAGGAAACUGAGUCAAAUUCCAUAGAUAUUGGCUGAGAAUACUUAUUGAGGAUAGCUGUAGCCUUUAACUGAGACAGCUUUUAAAUUGGUAAAUCAAGGAAUCAUCAUAAUCCAUUCCAUCUCUGGCCAUCUAUAUGCCAUGCUCCAGAGUUCUGGCCUCAGCCCCAGAUUGGUACCAGAUGUCACAAAAUCCUUUUAUGAUAGUUGCUCUGAAAAAGGCCAAGUCACAGUGGUGGAGAAAUCUUCAAACUGGUCAAUCUACUUUGACACUCAGACCACAGCUAGUCUCCUAGGAAGGCAAAAGAGAGACCUCAGUACUUAUAAACCAUGGUUCAUUUAGAAUUUUGGAAGAAAGAGCAAGAAAGCAUCAGACCAAACAGCAAACAAGUUUGGACAAGCCUUCCGGAGAAGGUAUAGUACAUCUAAUUUCCCACUAUUGCAAAAGACCGUAUCACACCAAGUUCAUGGUGGUUCAAC